rnacentral:rRNA from 1 species
AUUGAACGCUGGCGGAAUGCUUUACACAUGCAAGUCGAGCGGCAGCACGGGGGCAACCCUGGUGGCGAGCGGCGAACGGGUGAGUAAUACAUCGGAACAUGCCCAGUCGUGGGGGAUAACACUUCGAAAGAAGUGCUAAUACCGCAUACGUCCUGAGGGAGAAAGCGGGGGAUCUUCGGACCUCGCGCGAUUGGAGUGGCCGAUGUCAGAUUAGCUAGUUGGUGGGGUAAAGGCCUACCAAGGAAACGAUCUGUAGCUGGUCUGAGAGGAUGAUCAGCCACACUGGGACUGAGACUCGGCCCAGACUCCUACGGGAGGCAGCAGCGGGGAAUUUUGGACAAUGGGGGCAACCCUGAUCCAGCCAUUCCGCGUGAGUGAAGAAGGCCUUCGGGUUGUAAAGCUCUUUCGGCAGGAACGAAACGGCGAGCUCUAACAUAGCUUGCUAAUGACGGUACCUGAAGAAGAAGCACCGGCUAACUACGUGCCAGCCGCCGCCGUAACAC